GCUGCGGGACCUGAGGGGGAGGGACUCGGAGGCAGUGGGCGGGCGGGGAGUCGGGCACCAGUGCCACCGGUGUCGGCCCUCCAGAGGCUGUCAGACAUUUCUGGCCCGUGGUUCCUGUGGGAGGUGUUGAGGGAUUGCGAAGAGGAAUCUCCCAAUAAUGAAUUCGGUGUCAGGGAACCCGUACCCCCUCCCCCCAACUACACCUUCUUCCCUGGCAGCCUCUGGCUUCUCUCUACAACAAUGCAGGAUGACAGUUCCCCGAGGACAGCCUGGAAGGGAGCUUGACUUCGCCGCUCUCAGCAUCUACUAGGAUGUAACUGUCUGUGUUCAGCGAGAAGGAGCUUAACCUUCUGCACCACUGAAGGCCCAGCCCAGCCCUGCCCCGCACCAUUCUAGCCUAGCCCAAACAAUCUCCAGCCACAACAGGUUCCCAGUCAGGAUCUUCCUGCUUGACCAACACCUCCAGAGGUCUCACCUUUCUCCUGCCUGCCCGGAGUCCAGGGCUUCUCCAGGCCUCUCCUUAUCUUGCCUGCAGCACUGUGGAUACACAGUAGUUGAGCUCCAUGUCUUGGGGUCGGGUGCUGUGAUGCUCAUUUGGGAUAAAGCUGAAUUUACUGUCCCCAUUUUUCCUGAAUGUGUGCUACAAGGUCUCUGGGUCUCAAGGUCAUGAGUCUGGACUUGGAACCUACAUUGAUUCCUGCCUCAGUUCUUCUCCUUACUGUUUUGUCAGCCUGAACUGGUCACGUUGUCUUUCCAAGUCUUCUAUCUACCCUCUCUGUCAAAGGGGCGUCAACAAUGUGUCCCCUCCGUCCACUCCAGGGUGAAUUGUGAUGCUGUCCUCACCGUUAAUCCUGGAUAUAGUAAAUGCCCAGCAAAUAGCUGCUGUGAAUGGUGUGAUGUUCGUGGGUCUCCCUGCAGGAAUUGCAACUGUAUUGGACUCAUCUUCACAUGAUACAGUGCCAAGCACACAGGAAGCACCACAAAAAGAAGUAAAUAUAUAAAAAGAAAACAGCUAUUAUCAUGACUAUUAUUGCUGUGUUUGGAGCUGCUAAGGUAAAUAAUCUUUGUAGGACCUAGGGCAAAAAUACAAACAGAAGCCCACUCACCAAAUGUCUAUUUCAAUGUUGUAACUCACACUAAUAACCUAUUAAAUAAAAUAUGUUCUAGCCUCCUA